rnacentral:rRNA from 1 species
AUGGUGGCUAAUGGUGACGCACCUGCAAGAGGGAGUGCAGCUGCAGCUGCAAGCCUGCGCCGACGUAGAACCACCGGUGGUGGUGCUGCUGCUGGAGGUGGUGGUGGUGGUGCCAGUACAAUGCUUCAGUUCUACACCGAUGAGGCUGCUGGGCGCAAGAUGUCCCCAAAUGCUGUUCUGAUCAUGAGCAUAGGGUUUAUUGCCGUCGUUGCCGUACUCCAUGUUUUCGGCAAGCUGUACCGCACCCCUAAUUAG